UACAGGAUAAAUAGAUUCAGCAUAUGCAGUUGCCCAUGUAGCUCGUGUAUAAUAAAAAGAGGCAAAGGAGUAGGGGUUCAAUUUCAAGUGCCGACAUACCGCAAUAGCAUGCUUGCACGGGAGUUGCUCCAAGUCAAACUUCCUGUACAUACAACUACGGUUUGCCAAGUGCACCAGACCGUUCAAAUCACCAUCCAGAGCAUUAUACUCGACAUCAUUGAUUUUGACCACAUUCAUCCUUGACGCAGCGUCUAACCUCUUCCUUAACUUCUG
rnacentral:lncRNA from 1 species